AACGCAAGUUGCGCCCGAGGCCUCGGCCGAGGGCACGCCUGCCUGGGUGUCACACAUAACCUUGCCUCCAAAACCUUCCUCGUCGUGACGCCACGUCGGCGAUGGUUUUGGAUGCGGAAGAUGGCCUCCCGCGACCACGAGCCACGGAUGGCCCAAAUAUCUGCUGGGGAAGCGAAGCGCCACGGCGUUCGGUGGUCGGCACAGCCCUUGAGGCGAUCAUGCCCGUGGUGGCCGCGGCGGUCCUCGGCAUACGACCCUGAUCAUUAACCAACGCGACCUCAGGUCAGGCGGGGCUACCCGCUGAGUUUAA
rnacentral:misc_RNA from 1 species